rnacentral:rRNA from 1 species
GUAGGGAAUAUUGGGCAAUGGUCGGAAGACUGACCCAGCCACGCCGCGUGCAGGAAGACGGCCCUCUGGGUUGUAAACUGCUUUUAUCUGGGAAGAAAAAGGCCAUGCGUGGCAAAUUGCCGGUACCAGAUGAAUAAGCACCGGCUAACUCCGUGCCAGCAGCCGCGGUAAUACGGAGGGUGCGAGCGUUGUCCGGAUUUAUUGGGUUUAAAGGGUGCGUAGGCGGCUGAUUAAGUCAGCGGUGAAAGACUUCGGCUUAACCGGAGCAGUGCCGGUGAUAAUGGUUGGCUUGAGUGUCGGAGGGGUACAUGGAAUUGAUGGUGUAGCGGUGAAAUGCAUAGAUACCAUCAGGAACACCGAUAGCGAAGGCAUUGUACUGGCCGACAACUGACGCUGAUGCACGAAAGUGUGGGGAUCGAACAGGAUUAGAAACCCUUGUAGUCC